rnacentral:misc_RNA from 1 species
UGCAUCUUGUAUGCACCGGCCUCGCCGCGAGCUCGCCUCACUGCUGGCAGCCCGGGGGCCGGCCGGGGGUGGGGCGCCGGGCGCGGCGCCGGCGCGGGAUGCAGCUUGGGCAGCUUAUCGGUGUAGUCGAGUCCAGCGAGCUACUCUGACUGAAGACUGGAGACGAAUUCAUUAUGGCUUCUCAUCGAAUUCGCAACCCAUUACUCCGUGCAAUACAUGAACAUAAUACAGAUGAGAGGUUCAGGAGAUCAAACUUGAGAAAAUAUUAUGACGUGGAAGCGUGGUACAGCUGUGAUACUAGCAAGCUCCCUGACUGGCUGGCAUCCAAGUUUGUACAGAGCAAUUUGGACCAGAGGACAGAGGCUUUCCUUGAUGGCUGCUACGAGAAAUCUGGUUGGAUGCUGACCCAAAUGUGGCAUAGCCUAGCCAAGUCAGCUCUUUCAUUCUUCAUGUCAACUACCUCGGUGAAUGGGUUGUUGAAGAGAGGGUCCAUGUUUGUGUUCUCCAGAGACCAAAUCCAGCAUCUCCUUGGGGUUACAGCUGACUGGAAAGCAGAAAAGGUCAUUGACCUUGGGGCAGGUGAUGGGGAGGUCACAAAGGAAGUAGACUUCAUGUUCAAAGAGGUUUAUGCCACGGAGGCAUCAUGGACUAUGCAGUGGAGGCUGUCCCAACAAGGCUGCAAAGUACUUCCCAUUGAUGGAUGGAGUUUAGAGAAGACUGGGCAUGCAUAUGAUGUGAUAAGCUGUUUGAACCUACUUGAUAGAUGUGAUCAGCCUCUGUUACUACUCAAGGAAAUGAAAGAAUCACUAUCAUCAUCGGGUGUGGUCAUCAUGGCAGUGGUGUUGCCAUUCAAGCAGUUUGUAGAACAUGGUUCAAACCAGAACAAGCCUUCUGAAGUGAUUGAGAUCCAAGGAGAGACUUGGGAGGAACAGGUCCAGCAUCUAGUCCAGGAGGUGAUCCAGCCUGCAGGAUUCCAAGUCCGAAGCUUCUCCAGGGUACCUUACCUCUGUGAGGGGGAUGCCACCGAACCCUUCUACCACCUGAAUGAUGCGCUCUUUGUUCUAGAGAGGGGUGAAGAUGCUGUAGACAGUCAACGAGAGCUGGAAAUGGAAGCUGUUCCAAGCAGUAGCUUAAGUAUAGAAUCAGAAAGAUGAUGAAUAUCACAUGAGUGUGAAGAAAACAGUACUCUUUGAAUAACAGUAUUUUUGUUUGUGUGCUCAGUGGGAGCAAUCGGAAUGGAUGCAAGAAUCUGUACCUGUGCAGAGAUGGGACAACUUGAUCUACAAGCAGUAAGUCUACUAAACCCAUUUGGUCUAAUUGCCGUUUCGUUUGCACGACUCUUGGUCUAAUACCCACUCAGUCUAAUUCUCAUUAGUUCAAUUUCCACUUCACCUUUUUAUUGAUAUUUUUUUGGCUCUGUCAAAUUCAAAUUUGGUUCAUGAACAGUUCGUCUAACCAUAUAUACACAAAGUGGAUCUUAGAUGAAAUGUGUCUAGCCUCACAGGAAAUUAUACCACAUGGUAAAUGGCAAAUGGUUUAGAUGAGCUAAACUGGUUGUACACAAAGAAAAAUUAGACCAGGUUGGAUGAGACCUAAUGGAAAGUACACUAAGCAGUUGAAGACCAAGUAGCAAUAUACAAUCCAAAGUGCCUAAAUCCUUGUCAUUGUAAUAUACUGUAUGUAGAGACAAACUUGAUUUGUUUCACAACUGAAAUAUCAAAAUUUAUAAUAGGGAGUAGGCCUAUGAAAUGACUUUUCAUCACAGCUGUGAAGAACACACAUCCCAACAAGUAAUCUGCUAGUAUGUGAAUCAACUCAUGUUGUGCAUCAGGGCUGGUUUACAGUUCAAUACUUAAGCCAGAAUUUGAAGUGUUUUAUUAGGAUCUUUAGUUUUGGUACCCCCCCCCCUCCUCAAAGUGCAUGCCACCAUUCCAUUUCAUGUUUAUCCACACUUUGCCACUCUCCACCCAGGCGCUAAAUGGGUACCCGGUAGGAUGUGAAAGUCAUUGUUGCUUGUCCAGUACCGUGUGUGCCUCACUGGCGACUGAGUGGAAUACUCUGCAGGGAGUGGAGGAUAUGCUUACAUAACAUGCGGGAAUGACUGAUUGAAUCCGAUGACCGGGAUAUAUCUGUAAAGCGCUUAGACAUGUCGUUCCGAUGUAUUAAGCGCUAUCGGAUUAUUAUUAUUACUCCUGCAUCCUUGCAUGCCAUUAACACUUUUUUUCCUGAUGUGUACUCUGUUACUUAUACUUCAUCUGUAUGUUAUAAAAAGAAGAGAAGCUUAUGGAAAAUUGAAAUAAGCACAGGUGUAAAGGCAUGGUCACACUGCCCAAGCUUUCUUGGAGAGGUCGUGGAGCGGAGAGAAAAAAAUCAUCACCUCUCGCUACCGUUCACCAUUUUCGAUUUCGAUUGUUUUUUUUU